CUUAUGAAAAUCAAUAUUUUUUUAGUUUUCUUUUUUUUUUUUUUGAACAAAAAAACUCACAAAAAAGAAUUCAAAAAGAUCAUUUUCUUAGUUCCCAAAAGUUGGUAUUUGGUAAUAUCAUCAAUUGGGCUCCAAAAAAAAGGUGUGAACAGAUCCAGUGACAAGAAAAAUAGUGUUCACAGGAAGCUUAACAAAGUUAUAAAUAUAGGUCGAUUCACUUCUAUUCCUCACUACAAAAAACUCUCUUAGUAAUGCAAGACUUUUCUGUAUCUAUAAUUUAAUUUUCAUAGGUGAUCCAAACUAAACCCCCCGCGCCACAUCUUCCUCCCAUAAACUUCUCUCCACUCCUACAUCUCAGAAAAUAAUGACAAAGAAAAUGUUUAUUGAGUUUAUAGGUGAGUUUGCAAUCAUGAAGGAUCUGAACUUGGAUCAUUUCAGCCCGAGUAUUGCUGUUAUAGACCCUAAAUACACUCUAACCCGUACCCCUGAUCCAAAUUUUAGCUUCGCCUUCAACAACAACAUCUUCUUCGACCAUCUCCUCCAGAUCUAGAUUAUGGCCGAUCCCCACUCCAAUUCAGGGUGGGAUCGGCCAUAAUCUCGAUCUGAAGGAGACAGUCGGAGAAGUUGUUGCUGUUGAAAAAAUCCAAAAACCGGGUCCUGGAUACAUGUUGGAGAGAAUUUUUGGUCAAUACAGCUGUUCUUGGGGUCGAAAAGAUCCAAAUUCUGAUCAUUUAUGACUGUAAACUCAACUAUAAACUCUACUAAUCUUUACUUUAUAAUUGUCUCCGAUAUGUAGGAGGGAGAAAUGUUUGUGGGAGGAAGACGGAGGGUAAGGGGUUUAGAUUGGGUCACCCAUGAAAGUUGAAUUAUAGAUAGACAAGUCAGCAUGAAGCCCGACUCUAGCAAACAAUCCUUUGUAAUGUUUCAUGUAAAAAAAUCAAUGUCUUAAUCCCCCAAGUUUGUUUCUCAUUGAUCCCUUUUCCAAAAGCAACCCUAACGCUUUUGACAAUUCCAAAAAUCUAUUUCAUAUAUGUAUAUGUAUCUAUUCGUGUGGUUGGUUUCAAAAGCUACUCUUGUUAUUGUAUUGUUUUGUUGUGGUAUCUUUCUGUUAUUUUGUUACUGUUUGCUAUUUCUUCUACCUCCGUUACUUUUUUCUCGGGACUAUUUUUGACUGUUUCUCUACUAAGGUUUGUGCAUACUCUAUUCUUCCUAGACCCCACUUUGUGGGACUACAUUGGGUAUGUUGUUGUUGGUUGGGGACCUGGUGUUUCAAUUUAUGCUAAAUGCUGUCGCUUUUGGUUCAGUGCGACUGUAUCACCUUUUGUAGUUCAGUUGAGCUUGAUUUAUUUGUCCUUCCAAAAGAAAGGUGUUAUAUUCAAUCAAUUAUUGGGUUGCUUGGAGCAUGAAGAGCAAUUUUGGUUCUUAUUCUUGAUUGGCACAACUUUUUAAACAUUAUAUUUCGGUAUCUGAUCAUGUAUUGGUCUUCAACGUUUUGACGUAACUGAUGCUUUUUCUAAUCUGUCAAGAAUUUGGUGCAUCUUCUAUCCGUUAUUGCUGAGAGAUUAGCCAUUGUUUUCCCCUUUUUUCCGCCUCUGUAUUUCAACACCCAAGAUCAAGUAAAUUAUCAUGAAGAUUUAUUACAAUAAAUGUUUAUUGCAAAGUUAAUAGGUUAAUUAUAAAUGUACAUGAUAACUACAUGUGCACUUUCUUAUGGAGGAGAGUUCAGCAUGAAGAUAAAAGACAUUACCAAGUUUGUGACUGUUGUCGUUGUUCACCAAGAUAUUCUAGUCAUUUGCUAUGUUUAUGGUUCUGGGUAUGUUGUCGUUGCUACUAUGUUUAUGGACCAUCUUCAUCAAGUAUGAAAGUAAUUAUAUAGUUUGUUUUAACGUCCUGCUUGUUUUAUGCUUUGCAAGUUACAAGAUUGUAACCAUACUUGAAACUUCGAAUACCGCUUGCAAAAAAUCAAACGAGUUUGAACGAGAAA